UCGGGAAAUCGAGAAAUCGAGAAAUCGAGAAAUUGGGAAAUCGGGAAAGCGAGAAAGCGAGAAAGCUAAAACGCGAAAUCGAGAAAUUCAUUUCGCGUUUUCGCGUUUUCGCGUUUUUGCUUUCUCGCUUUCCCUAUUUCUCGAUUUCCCUUUUUCUCGAUUUCCCUAUUUCUCGAUUUCCCGAU
rnacentral:sRNA from 1 species